rnacentral:rRNA from 1 species
UUUUAUGGAGAGUUUGAUCCUGGCUCAGGAUGAACGCUGGCGGCGUGCCUAAUACAUGCAAGUCGAGCGAACGGACGAGAAGCUUGCUUCUCUGAUGUUAGCGGCGGACGGGUGAGUAACACGUGGAUAACCUACCUAUAAGACUGGGAUAACUUCGGGAAACCGGAGCUAAUACCGGAUAAUAUUUUGAACCGCAUGGUUCAAAAGUGAAAGACGGUCUUGCUGUCACUUAUAGAUGGAUCCGCGCUGCAUUAGCUAGUUGGUAAGGUAACGGCUUACCAAGGCAACGAUGCAUAGCCGACCUGAGAGGGUGAUCGGCCACACUGGAACUGAGACACGGUCCAGACUCCUACGGGAGGCAGCAGUAGGGAAUCUUCCGCAAUGGGCGAAAGCCUGACGGAGCAACGCCGCGUGAGUGAUGAAGGUCUUCGGAUCGUAAAACUCUGUUAUUAGGGAAGAACAUAUGUGUAAGUAACUGUGCACAUCUUGACGGUACCUAAUCAGAAAGCCACGGCUAACUACGUGCCAGCAGCCGCGGUAAUACGUAGGUGGCAAGCGUUAUCCGGAAUUAUUGGGCGUAAAGCGCGCGUAGGCGGUUUUUUAAGUCUGAUGUGAAAGCCCACGGCUCAACCGUGGAGGGUCAUUGGAAACUGGAAAACUUGAGUGCAGAAGAGGAAAGUGGAAUUCCAUGUGUAGCGGUGAAAUGCGCAGAGAUAUGGAGGAACACCAGUGGCGAAGGCGACUUUCUGGUCUGUAACUGACGCUGAUGUGCGAAAGCGUGGGGAUCAAACAGGAUUAGAUACCCUGGUAGUCCACGCCGUAAACGAUGAGUGCUAAGUGUUAGGGGGUUUCCGCCCCUUAGUGCUGCAGCUAACGCAUUAAGCACUCCGCCUGGGGAGUACGACCGCAAGGUUGAAACUCAAAGGAAUUGACGGGGACCCGCACAAGCGGUGGAGCAUGUGGUUUAAUUCGAAGCAACGCGAAGAACCUUACCAAAUCUUGACAUCCUUUGACAACUCUAGAGAUAGAGCCUUCCCCUUCGGGGGACAAAGUGACAGGUGGUGCAUGGUUGUCGUCAGCUCGUGUCGUGAGAUGUUGGGUUAAGUCCCGCAACGAGCGCAACCCUUAAGCUUAGUUGCCAUCAUUAAGUUGGGCACUCUA